rnacentral:lncRNA from 1 species
UCAGGUGUCUUCCACAGUGAUCCCCCUGAGGAAGGUGGCCCCAGGCAGUGGAGAAGGCCCCCUCUGUUCUGCGGAUGGCAUUUGUCACUGAGGCAGAGUAUGGCACCCUGUCCCGUCUUCCACGUGGUGCCCACCACCCCUUCAAACUCGCCCUAUGCCAUCUUUCCUACAGAAAAUGAACGGAACCAUUCUGGCAGGAGGAGGAGUCAGCAUGUGGGAUGGGGAUCCUGGGCAUGUGGCUGAAGGCUGGCACCUCCGCAGGCAGGAGCUGGCCCAGGAAGGUCCUGUGGCCCUCGCUCUUCCCAUGAGUCCACCCUCUCCCCUUGGAUCAGCUUGUUUUGCUACUACCAACCCAUGACCUGAGAGGCCAGGCAGCGGCACGCCACGGCCACUUCACAUUCUCCUCCCCGUCCCCCCUCUCUUGACUCAGCCCGGCAGGAACAAGGACAGAGGAUCAGAGAAGGCCACAUUUCCAAAACCUGCCCAGUCAUCGCACUAAAGGUGAGGGCAUGACUUGAUUAUCUGAGACCAACCAAAGGUCCACACACUUUUUUUGUACUGGGGAUUGAACCAAGGCCUAGGCAAGCUCUCUACCUACUGAGCCGCAACCCCAACCCAAGGGCCAUGUUCUUUUUUAUUUUUUUGCUACUAGGGAUUGAACUCAGGGGCACUCAUCCACUGAGCCACGUCCCCAGCCCUAUUU